rnacentral:rRNA from 1 species
AACGAACGCUGGCGGCAUGCCUAACACAUGCAAGUCGAACGAGAUCUUCGGGUCUAGUGGCGCACGGGUGCGUAACGCGUGGGAAUCUGCCCUUUGGUUCGGAAUAACAGUUGGAAACGACUGCUAACACCGGAUGAUGACGACAGUCCAAAGAUUUAUCGCCAGAGGAUGAGCCCGCGUAGGAUUAGCUAGUUGGUGUGGUAAAGGCGCACCAAGGCGACGAUCCUUAGCUGGUCUGAGAGGAUGAUCAGCCACACUGGGACUGAGACACGGCCCAGACUCCUACGGGAGGCAGCAGUGGGGAAUAUUGGACAAUGGGCGAAAGCCUGAUCCAGCAAUGCCGCGUGAGUGAUGAAGGCCUUAGGGUUGUAAAGCUCUUUUACCCGGGAUGAUAAUGACAGUACCGGGAGAAUAAGCUCCGGCUAACUCCGUGCCAGCAGCCGCGGUAA